UUACGGCCAUAUCAUGUUGAAACACCGGUUCCCGAACAAUCAGCAAAGUUAAGCAACGUCGAGCCUGGUUAGUACCUAGAUGAGUGACCGCUUGGGAAUAGCAGGUGCUGUAA